rnacentral:rRNA from 1 species
UACGUAGGGGGCUAGCGUUGUCCGGAAUCAUUGGGCGUAAAGAGCGCGUAGGCGGCCCGAUAAGUCUGCUGUGAAAGUCCAGGGCUCAACCCUGGAAUGCCGGUGGAUACUGUCGGGCUAGAGUACGGAAGAGGCGAGUGGAAUUCCUGGUGUAGCGGUGGAAUGCGCAGAUAUCAGGAGGAACACCGAUAGCGAAGGCAGCUCGCUGGGACGUUACUGACGCUGAGGCGCGAAAGCGUGGGGAGCAAACAGG